AAUGUUUAUAGCAGCAAUGGCCACGAUAGUCAAACUAUGGAACGAGCCUAGACGUCCAUGAACAGAUGAAUGGAUAAAGAAGAUGCGGUAAACACACACACACACACACACACACA